rnacentral:rRNA from 1 species
GAUGAACGCUGGCGGCGUGCCUAAUACAUGCCAGUCGAGCGAACAGACGAGGAGCUUGCUCCUCUGACGUUAGCGGCGGACGGGUGAGUAACACGUGGAUAACCUACCUAUAAGACUGGGAUAACUUCGGGAAUCCGGAGCUAAUACCGGAUAAUAUAUUGAACCGCAUGGUUCAAUAGUGAAAGACGGUUUUGCUGUCACUUAUAGAUGGAUCCGCGCCGCAUUAGCUAGUUGGUAAGGUAACGGCUUACCAAGGCAACGAUGCGUAGCCGACCUGAGAGGGUGAUCGGCCACACUGGAACUGAGACACGGUCCAGAGUCCUACGGGCGGCAGCAGUAGGGAAUCGUCCGCAAUGGGCGAAAGCCUGACGGAGCAACGCCGAGUGAGUGAUGAAGGUCUUCGGAUCGUAAAGCUCUGUUAUUAGGGAAGAACAAAUGUGUAAGUAACUAUGCACGUCUUGACGGUACCUAAUCAGAAAGCCACGGCUAACUACGUG